CAGGCUUAACACAUGCAAGUCGAGGGGCAGCAUGGUCUUAUCUUGCUAAGGCCGAUGGCGACCGGCGCACGGGUGAGUAACACGUAUCCAACCUGCCGUCUACUCUUGGACAGCCUUCUGAAAGGAAGAUUAAUACAAGAUGGCAUCAUGAGUCCACAUGUUCACAUGAUUAAAGGUAUUCCGGUAGACGAUGGGGAUGCGUUCCAUUAGAUAGUAGGCGGGGUAACGGCCCACCUAGUCUUCGAUGGAUAGGGGUUCUGAGAGGAAGGUCCCCCACAUUGGAACUGAGACACGGUCCAAACUCCUACGGGAGGCAGCAGUGAGGAAUAUUGGUCAAUGGGCGAGAGCCUGAACCAGCCAAGUAGCGUGAAGGAUGACUGCCCUAUGGGUUGUAAACUUCUUUUAUAAAGGAAUAAAGUCGGGUAUGCAUACCCGUUUGCAUGUACUUUAUGAAUAAGGAUCGGCUAACUCCGUGCCAGCAGCCGCGGUAAUACGGAGGAUCCGAGCGUUAUCCGGAUUUAUUGGGUUUAAAGGGAGCGUAGAUGGAUGUUUAAGUCAGUUGUGAAAGUUUGCGGCUCAACCGUAAAAUUGCAGUUGAUACUGGAUAUCUUGAGUGCAGUUGAGGCAGGCGGAAUUCGUGGUGUAGCGGUGAAAUGCUUAGAUAUCACGAAGAACUCCGAUUGCGAAGGCAGCCUGCUAAGCUGCAACUGACAUUGAGGCUCGAAAGUGUGGGUAUCAAACAGGAUUAGAUACCCUGGUAGUCCACACGGUAAACGAUGAAUACUCGCUGUUUGCGAUAUACUGCAAGCGGCCAAGCGAAAGCGUUAAGUAUUCCACCUGGGGAGUACGCCGGCAACGGUGAAACUCAAAGGAAUUGACGGGGGCCCGCACAAGCGGAGGAACAUGUGGUUUAAUUCGAUGAUACGCGAGGAACCUUACCCGGGCUUAAAUUGCAGAUGAAUUACGGUGAAAGCCGUAAGCCGCAAGGCAUCUGUGAAGGUGCUGCAUGGUUGUCGUCAGCUCGUGCCGUGAGGUGUCGGCUUAAGUGCCAUAACGAGCGCAACCCUUGUUGUCAGUUACUAACAGGUUCUGCUGAGGACUCUGACAAGACUGCCAUCGUAAGAUGUGAGGAAGGUGGGGAUGACGUCAAAUCAGCACGGCCCUUACGUCCGGGGCUACACACGUGUUACAAUGGGGGGUACAGAGGGCCGCUACCACGCGAGUGGAUGCCAAUCCCAAAAACCUCUCUCAGUUCGGACUGGAGUCUGCAACCCGACUCCACGAAGCUGGAUUCGCUAGUAAUCGCGCAUCAGCCACGGCGCGGUGAAUACGUUCCCGGGCCUUGUACACACCGCCCGUCAAGCCAUGGGAGCCGGGGGUACCUGAAGUGCGUAACCGCGAGGAGCGCCCUAGGGUAAAACUGGUGACUGGGGC
rnacentral:rRNA from 1 species